GAUGAACGCUAGCGGCAGGCUUAACACAUGCAAGUCGAGGGGUAGAAGCAGCUUGCUGCUUUGAGACCGGCGCACGGGUGCGUAACGCGUAUGCAAUCUACCUUUUACAGAGGGAUAGCCCAGAGAAAUUUGGAUUAAUACCUCAUAAUAGUAGAACUGGCAUCAGUUUUAUUUGAAAGCUCCGGCGGUUAAAGAUGAGUAUGCGUCUGAUUAGCUAGUUGGUGAGGUAACGGCUCACCAAGGCGACGAUCAGUAGGGGAUCUGAGAGGAUUAACCCCCACACGGAUACUGAGACACGGAUCCGACUCCUACGGGAGGCAGCAGUAAGGAAUAUUGGACAAUGCCCGCAAGGGUGAUCCAGCCAUGCCGCGUGCAGGAAGACGGCCCUAUGGGUUGUAAACUGCUUUUACACCGGAGAAAACCUCCCCUCGUGAGGGGAGCUGAUAGUAUGGUGAGAAUAAGCAUCGGCUAACUUCGUGCCAGCA
rnacentral:rRNA from 1 species